rnacentral:rRNA from 1 species
UACGUAGGGGGCGAGCGUUGUCCGGAUUUAUUGGGCGUAAAGAGCGUGUAGGCGGCCAGGUAGGUCUGCUGUGAAAACUCGAGGCUCAACCUCGAGACGUCGGCGGAAACCAUCUGGCUAGAGUUCGGAAGAGGCGAGUGGAAUUCCCGGUGUAGCGGUGAAAUGCGCAGAUAUCGGGAGGAACACCUAUGGCGAAGGCAGCUCGCUGGGACGUUACUGACGCUGAGACGCGAAAGCGUGGGGGAGCAAACAGG